rnacentral:lncRNA from 1 species
CAUCUUCUGACUUUUGACUUAAUUGGUCUUUGCUAUCUUAACAAGCAUGGAGAUACGAUUAGAAGUUUUGACUUCAACCAGUAUCAAGCAGAAAAAACCCUGGCCACGAGUAUCCUGGUUGGGACAGGAAAAUGAAGCUGUUUUUCUUUUGGAUGAUAAAUUCGUAAAUGAAAUUAAUUUGCUCUCAGGAAGGACAAAGAAGAAAAUUCCCAGUCUUCAGCCUUUGUUGAAGGAUGUUAUACUCCUAACAACGUCCAGUAAUGAUGCCUGGCUGGCUGGGGUACUCACUACAGGGGAGGUUUUCCUCUGGAACAAAGAUCAAGAUUGUUUGAAAACUAUACAAGCAACUGAAAAGCCUAAGGAAAUGAUUGAAGCUGCAGUAGCAAGCUCUUCGAGACUGUACUUGUAUGUAUCUGGCAAUGGGAAAAGAGUUCUGCUUAUAACUCCUUCUGGAUGCAUAUUCCUUUGGGAACAUUUGGAAUUCAAGAAUGUUUCAUCUUCCAAAAGCCUUUCCUUGGUGGGCCAGUGGUCCCAGAUCAUGCCUGAAGAAGCAGUUCCUUUGCCUUCCACUGAAGAUAAAGAAGCGGUAGUGCAUGCUGUUUUUAUAAAAAAUGAGUUAUUUGGAGACUGCUGCUUGUGUUCAUUUACUUUCUAUUCCGGGGAAUGCCUGAAGUUAACAUUUCUAGCAAUUCGGUGGCAUGAAAAUGUAUUUACACCUGUAAGAUCACUGCCAUAUCAUGUUCAGUGGGCUCAGCAGGAUUGCCUUCUGUGCAGUCUGAUCCCUAAAUGUGAGUCAGUGAAGUCAAGGGGAGCUCUGAUUUCUGCAUUUUCAAGGGAUGGACUUACCCUGGCAGUAACGCUUAAUCAGAAAGACCCAAAGGCAACUCAGGUAUUAUUUAUAAAUACACUGAAUUUUGUUACUCUCUAUGGUAGCCUUAAAGGAUGUAGUAAUAAGAAUCCUGUGGUUCCAGCUACUCUUGUCAGGUCAUACUGGGUAGGUGACGUCAGCUGGACUCACGAUAGUCUUUUCCUGGCUUGUGUGUUAAAACGUGGCUCCCUGGUUUUAUUGACCUGCCACGGUGAAUUGCUAACGUUAAUUACAUUUGGUUGCUCUAUAGAAUUUGGGCCAGCAGAAUUUAUUCCUCUUCACCCGCUAAUAACAUAUAGACCACAGCAGUUUACACUUCAAGAUUCAAAUAAUUCUGUAGAUUCAUCAGCUUCAGAUAGUGACCCUAUGAGACAGAGAUUUUCUAUAAAAGCACACUCACGAUUACCGUACCUCAUUAUUUCUGAUGGAUACAUGGUCACAACCCUUCGAUUUCUUGAUAAUCUGUCUCCAUCAGUGCUCAUGAGAUCCCUUCUACUUGAUUCAACGCAGAGGCUUGAGAAAACAUACGAAAGUGUGAUACUGUGUAAGCCAAAAGGCAAAGGUCUGAACUUGCGAUCACUGAAUUCCCUAAGAUCUAGCUUGUUAAAGCACCAAAGAGAUGAAAAUGUAGCUGAUUCUACUGUUCCCAAAUUCUUGCAAGCAGAAGAAACACUGAAGUUAAAUGAAGAAACAGCGGAUUUGCAGGAUUUUGAAGCAGAAGAAACUGAUGAUGGCAUAUGUUUUCCAAACAACUUAUUCUCUUUUUGGAACCAAAAAAAUGAUCUGUUAUUUAGUAGUGUUGAGGAGGGACGAUUGGAAUUUGCUUCUAUGUUUGAUACAAUUCAUGCAAAAGAUAAUACUGAGGAGACAGAUAAAACUGUUACAGAACUGCACUCUGUCCAGAAAAAUCUCCUUGCAGCAUGGACUAUAGGGAUUUCAAAAAAUGUGACAGAAAAAAAUUUAAUGUUAAAUUACACAGUAGUUUGUAUCACUCAUUUUUUGUAUAUUCUUCAGUUUAUAAAAUGUCCUUUUCCCAAACUAGAUCUUUUUUUAAGCAAGAGCUCAAAAUAUAAUACAUGGGUGCUUUGUAUCUUUCAACUUUUUCAUCAGUGUUUAUCAAUCCAGUAUUGGGAUAUGAGAUACAAGCAAGAUGUAGGACAUUUGGUGAAGCUGACCUCAAAUACUAUAAAGCUUUUGCUAACACAGCAACAACAGGAUCUGUUAUUCUCAGAGAAGCUUUUAGCCUGUUUUCAUUUACUCAGAAUGGUGGCUGAUCAUUUAAAUGGCGUGUACAGUCUUCAGCCUGAAGUUAUCUCAGCAUCAGCUGAGGGAAGUAGAAGAGCAAAGCAAGACUCAUUGGUGUUACCCAUUUUUCAAAUGUUUCAAGACAGUGGAUCUUGGGAAAACUGGUCUUGGAACUCAUCUUUCGAGAUUCAUCCUCAAGUAUUACAUUUUGUGCAACAGCCAGGACACAGAUUGAGUGUUCUCUGGAAAAUAUUGUACAGAAAGACUUUAUGGUAUCAGAUGCAAUUAAGUCAGAGAGUUCCUGAAGAUGGCAUGCAGUUAGCUGAAAAGAUGACACAUGAAGCAUCUGCUGUCAAGUCCCUGUUAUGCCAUAUACAGGCUGAAUUGCAGACUGCUGGAGUUCGCUUGAACCAGACCUUAGAACUUAAAUCUAUCAAUGGGGAAGAGUGUUUCCUAUUAGGAUCAUAUGAAAAAUCUGUUCAAAUAUGGAGGAAAGCUCUACAAGAAACCUGCGAGAAAGGAGGAAGAAGGACAUGUUUUCUUCAGCUUCGCUAUUAUCUUUCUCUUUUAUACUGCCACCUCUAUAACUAUAAUUUAAAUGAUGCUCAAGGAUUAUGUGAUCAGCUAGUAAGAGAAAUACUGAGAUGGUCCCACCUUCCUGUAAAAGAAAAUGAAGAUUGUUCAGUUCCUGAGAAGUCUCCUUGUGAGUCUGGGGUGACUGGAAGUGUUCAUCCUGAAGCGGCGGUGAGGGUGGUGCAGUCCAUGGCUCGCUUCAUGGCCGCCUACUUCACCAACCAGCGGCUGUGCAUUUUGCCACCUCACAGUGUGGAUGUUCUUCCUCCCCUUCAUAUUAAAACAGAGCAGCCCUUUCGACUUAUUCCUCUGCAACACUCUAAGGUGGCCAGUGCGGUCAGAGAGCAGAAUCUUUCUGAUGUGUGGACCGCUGAAUAUGCCCUUGAAUUAUUAUUGAUCGGUGGCCUGGUUCCAGAAGCCGUGUGGUUGGCACAUAAACUUGGAGACUGGAAGACAUCUAUUUCUGUCGGUGUGGCUUUUCAACUCUUCUGUAAGCGUGAUAGCAAAUUCACGAGAUCCAAGGAAAAGAGUCUGAAUCUACCAUUAAAUAUGACUCCAGCACAGAUUUUUCAGGAAAAACUACAGUGUUUCCUAGGUCAGCCAGCCUCUUUGGAAGCAAAAAAUGAAAUGAGCUCAAAAUGCAAACAGUUUACAGAUCCCAUUGAAGAAGAAGAUGCGGAUCUGCUGUUUGCUUCUGUGCAGGAAAUACUGAAAGCAGCAGUUAUGGCUGACGCGGAUAUUCUUUCAGAGACUUUUCAGCUUCUGAUCGACUCUGCCAAGGACUUCAGUAAGAGACUGUGGGGCUUAGUGCCCGUCGGCUUGUAUCUUCCAGCUCCUCCGUUAUAUUGUCCUCAGCCAGCUGUUCUUAGUGAAGAAGAUGGUGAUGAUCUUCUUUUAAAAGCUGAAAAAGAUAAUCGCCAAAAGGUGUCUGGAAUCCUUCAGCGUGUUCUCUUGCUUUUCCGGGCAGCUCGGUGUUCUUUUCCUGUAGCACAGUGGUACAUCUUGCAGUUGAGAUGGGCAAGAAAAGUCAUGCAAAAGAUUCGCAUGAAAGGGUCCCUUCCUUCAUUGAGUCCUUUCCCUGAGUCGUUACUUAAUUACUGUAAAGGAGGUGUAGCAUUCUUUCGACCUGGAGCGGCUGGAGACCGGAAGCUAGAUGAAGCGUCCAUUAAAGCAAUAGGUUGCUUCAGAGAACUUUGUGCUUUGUGUUGGAUGCUGCAUGUCCGUGAUAAGUUAUCCUAUAGUUGUAGGCAGUAUCAGAAGGCAAGAGAAAAUGUGGAGGAAAAAAAGGGCCUUGAGGCAAAGUUUGGCCCCUGUCUAGUUGAGCACUGUCUGAGUGCGGUGGAAUGGGCUUACAGAAUGUUGCCCUUCUCUCGGUUUUCUAAUAUUGAAGAGCUUAUUCAGGAUCUGAUUUUGAGCCUCAUUGCAGAACUGCCACCAAUCAGAAAGGUAGCAGAAAUUUUUGUGAAGGCAUUUCCCAAUCCUGAGGACAUAAGAGUUUCUUUAAGAGAAAAAUAUCACUCUCUUCAGCAGAGACUCAGACACUGUGUUGUGAAAGGUCCCCAAACAGAAGAGAUGAUGUCUGUUAUCAUGCAUUCUAUCCAUAAAGUGAGGGUGAAAGCCCUAAAGCGUGUGCAGAGAAAUAUAGGUUCUUUCGAAAUGAAUAUAUGGGAGCCAAUUGAAGAAGAAAAGCCAGCCGAGGUUGCAGGUUUUGACAGGUUUUCCUUGGGAACUAGUCUGAGCAGGAGCACACUCACAGAACUGGGCAGUUCUCUGGCUCACAGUGAUGCAGAUAUGGCCGAUACCCUCUCAGAAGCUUUGUCAGCUGAAGAAAAAAGCAGAACACAUUUCUGUCAAAGAAGUGCCCCAAAUCACAUGGAAUUAACAUUGACUGGUAAGCCCGAAGGUAAAAAGAAAAUAUAUAAUCAAAAGGAAAACCCUAAAAGAAAAGAAGAUUGCGAAAAGUUAUUACAAAAUGCACUUCCUGUAAUAGGUGUUUGGGAAUUUGAACGUGACGAUGACGAAUAUAUUAAAUUCCUUGAACUCUUCUUGAGUUAUGUUCUUGAAAGAGACCUACUUGGUUCCAAGGAUGCUGGCAUUCCAUUUCUAACUAGUUUUUCUGGACAUCUUAGAGAACAUGAACUUAAUUCUUUCCUCUUUGAUGUACAUACAACAUUAAAACGACGUCACAGCAAAACCAGAAGCCAGAAUGUGUUCAGAGCCGGCUCCUGCUUUGUUGUUGCUCCUGAGUCAUAUGAGUGUGAAAAAUCAGAAAACCAGACACUUUCAGCUUCCGUACUAGCUAAUCAAGGGAUCAGGCGUUUUUCCGAGAACCCUUUGAAUGAAGUCAAUAAAAAUGAAGGGAAGAGUGGGUUGUUCGGUUUAAAACAGAAGUCAGUUUAUAGAGUACAAGAUGACAGUGCAGAGAAAACUUUAAUACAGAGAUUGUCAAACCAUAGUGUUUGCAUUCCCAAAUCCACUGAAACUAGAAGAUGUAUUUUCAAAGCCAUUCAAUGUAAUGAUAUUAACCCUCAAGAAGAUCUUCCUGUAGCACUAAAUAACAUGUGUGGCAAUACAAGAAGGCUAUUGGAAUGGAUGAUAAGAUGGUCUGAUAAAAGACUGCUCUGUGACUCUGGACUCACCGAGCCAUCCUGUGAGUACAGUCCUGUCAUUCGUGUGAAGACCUCAACAGCCGCCAUUCUUACAUCAUUGUGGCUUUUGGAACAACCCUAUUUUGCUACAUAUAAGGCAAAAAAUGCCGUCAUUAAGGUGCUAGAGAAUAAUUCCCCUGAGCCUCAGAAUGGACCCAGUAUAGAGAAUGAUUAUAGAACAGAUGCUGGCUGUUCUGUUGCAGUAUCCGCUCAAGGUGGGACUGAGGAAAUAAAUGAUCAAAAUGAAUCCUGUCAAAGUAUCUUGAAAAUGCCAACAGAAGGAAAAAAUCCUGAAAUAAAGGGAACCAAAGAUGAGAUUAUUUCUGUCACUGAUAUUACUGAAAAAGAAGUUGUAAAUAUCGAUGAGGAUCUUUCAGAAGUAGAAGCAUUUACACAGGAGGAAAUGGAUGUAUACCCAACAGACCAUGAAGAGGAUGCCAAAGAGUUUGCCAAAGAACCUGUUGAAAGUCCUAAUAUUGCCGUUUACACGCAGAUGCAAACCUUACCACAGCAUUUAGAAAAGCAUUCCACAGGAGAGGUUCAGUGUCCAAGGGAAGAACCAUUGGAGACGUGUAUGGAGGAGGAAUCAACUGAACAGAAAGGUAUGAUCGAAGCCUCUGCAGAUCUUGAACAUAUCAUUCCUCAUUCAUUUUGUGUAGAUACAAAUUCAGAAGUUUCUAGUACUCCAGUCUCUGCAUGUAAAGAUAAAUCUUCCUCAGCUCCACCUUUGGCAUCAAAUGGAGUCACAGUGGCUUCACAAACACCUGGACCAACAGCUCAGCCAACCCAGAGAAAUGAACCCAGCGCUCAGUUAUCGCAGUCUUCCAAUUCUGUUAGGCAAAUGCUCCAAGAUGAAAUGUUUAAAUUAGUUCAGCUGCAACAGAUCAACUUCAUGAGCCUAAUGCAAAUAGUAGGAUCAUCCUUCGCAAACCUCCCAGAUAUUCAUCAACUUCUCCAACAGUCUCAGUCUGUGCAUUUGGUGGGAAGCCAAGGAUCAAACCCCACGAGAGGGAGUAAUGAUGUUGGAGACACCAGUAGAAAUCUGAAGGAGAGAUUUUUCAUUAAACCACAACCCAUGGGAGAGUAUGCCAGAGAGCCUGGCAAGAAGAGCCCACACUGCCAUGAAGAAAUUGUGCAAUCCAAUGAAAAUAGUAAUGGAAACUUAGAGAAUGUUCCACAUGGGAGUGUUCCUUUUUGUCAAUCAGAAGGUCAGCCCCAGAAUAGAGGACUAACUCCAGCAUCUCACAGCUUACCAGCCGCUUCUUUGUCUCCAGUCCCUGCUGGAAACAGUCACCUCCACCUUUUGUCUGCAUCUUCUGCCGUUCCAAAGACACCUAGACUUAUCCCCACUGGAAAUACUUCCCGACCUGGUGAUGGUUUCCCUUUGCUUCAGUUUCAGCCCAAGCCUGAGUUUCAGCCCAUUUCCUUUCAGACAGAAAGAGUUCCUCAGCUUCCCUUCAGUCCUCUGCCAAAGCCUAGAGAGGCUUGGGGAUUAUCUGAUUUCUCACAGCCUCCUUUGCCAAAGACAGCAAUGGCCACUACUUCAGUGUCCCAUUUGAAUCUGAGCCAGUAUAAUACUGAAGCCAUAAAAAAAGCAGCUGAGCCGAAAAAAUGGGCAGAAACAAUAAUUAAAGAAAUCCCAAAGCAUGUGAACUUGGAUCCGUGUGUUGGACAAGAAAACUUGACACCUCAACAGGACUCUAAAACAUUUAUGCAACCAGAAAAAAUGUUUGAUGUUAAACCAGGACCCUUUGAGAUAUCUUCUCAGAAUUCCUCUGGACUUCCUUUAUUGUACCUGCAACUUAAACCUCCUUACAUGUUUUCUUCUACCUCAAGAGCAUCCAUUACAGUUCCAUCCAUACCUAUUAGAACUAUGGCAGAAGAAAGAAAAUGCCCAAGAUUAUCACUACUUCAUUCAUGUCUAGGCCCAGAAAAUAUGUACCAAAAACCACAACUUAUUCCACUUGAAAACCUCAUUGCAUUUAAACAAAAGCAACAGAACUGGACACAUAAUUUCUUUGAACAAGGUGAUCCUGGACAUCUCCAGCUUCUAAAGGUCAAAAUAGAAUCAUCUGAAUUGAGACAAGGGAAGGACAGUAAAAAAAGACAAAGACGACGAGCUGAAAGAGAACUGCAGGAAGAAAGAUCAGAGAAACUAAGGAGAAAGCCAAGUGUGACUUUCCAGCCGGAGGACAUCAUCAUUAAUGGCAACGAUUCAGAAGUAGCUGUGAAGCCCCAGGAGCAACAAGAACAUCCUGGCUCCCAGCCUUUGGAAGACUUUGACAUCCCUUUUGAAAAGCUCCAAGAUGAUGUUAAUACUUCUGCUGGACUGCAUUUCAUGGCCUCUGUGAAAAAGAAAGCUAAAGAAUGUCAGGAUGCAAGUACAAAUACAGACCCAGAAGCUGCUUCUCAACAAGUUGUUUCUGAAUGUCAUAAAAAUCAACAAGUCAUUUCUUCCAUAUCAGAACAUGAAACUUUGAAUGUUCCUCAACUUUUGGCUCCAGAUAUAUGUCUAAAUCUCAGACUUCCCACUGAAACAUCAGAGAAACCUCUGUCACCUUCAGCAUCUGAUACGGUUGGACACACUUACAUAAAUGUGAUUGACAUUGAAGCUGAUGAUCUACAGGAAUUACCUGUCAAGGAAGAGCCUUCAGAUAAUAUCAAGCAACACAGUGAUUGUCUAGAAGUCCCAUCUUCUGCAGAAUUACAUUACAUGGCAGCUUCAGUUACUAAUGCUAUUCCCCCGACUCUUGACAAUCUGAAGAGUAAAGAAUCUGCCUAUUCCGCUGUGGAUUUAUUUUUUAAACCUGCAAAAGUGUCUCCAUCCUGCCUGGGAGGAAGCAGCUGGAGAGCAGGCAGUACAGAAGUGAAGGAGCCUUGUGUCAUCUCACCUCUGCCAUCAGACAUACAGCAGGACACAGAUACUCCGAAGCCAGAUUUUCGCUUCAAGGAACUGAGCUCAAAGUCAGAUGCUACAGAAGACUAUCUUCUGUGGGAGGUGCUACAGGAAGUCCCCACCGCUCACCGUGCGCCAAGCCCUGCAGCUCGCCGGCUGGAGCAUCUCACGGCAAAACUUCAGAAAAUUGAUGAACAGCUCUUAGCAAUACAGAACCUCGCUGAAAACAUAGAGCACAAUUACCCCAGACACACAGUGCUAGACCGACACUGUAUGAAGGUUGAACCUGUGGGUCCCAUUGAACUGUCUUCUGGCCCUGAAUCUGAAAAAACAUUCCCUUCAAAAACCAUUAGCAUUUCUGAAGAAGAUCGGAGAGACAAAGAAGAGAUUUCAGUAACAGAAAUUUACCCUAGUCAGAAAACCUGUGUGCUUCCUUCAGCUCAUUCAGCUGUCAGUCUUUCCAGUGACCAGAAUGUGACUUCCCUUGGUGUGAAUAACAGUGAUGAAUUAUUUGAAAGUGUUUUGGUAGAUCCACUCCAGAUGAGUGAACUGACUGAUAUUGCGGACAUUAUCAAUGACCUCAUAACGAAAGAUGGAGUUUCCAGUGAAGAGCUCGGCCUAACAGAGCAACAGGCUAGGAGCAUCUCCAGGAUUCAGCAUCCCUCUGGUAGACGCCCACAAAGAACUGAGAAGGAGAGAAGAGAGAUUCAAGUCUGGAUGAAAAGAAAACGAAAAGCAAGAAUGGCAGAGUACUUAAAUCAGCUGGCAGAGAAGAGAGGGCAAGAACACGAUCCUUUCUGCCCCAGGAAUAACCCAUUAUACAUGACUUCAAGGGAAAUCAGGCUGAGACAAAAGAUGAAGCAUGAGAAAGACAGAUUGCUACUCUCAGACCACUAUAGUCGUCGAAUCUCACAAGCAUACACUCUGAUGAAUGAACUGUUAUCUGAAUCAGCACAGCUUCCAGCAGCUGCUCAGAAACCAUUGCCUAACAAACCCAGAAAAGCUCAGAUUCCCAGAAGGCAACGCUCCCCUUCUCCAAGAGGAGAGAAUCGACAUGGUCACAAUUUUCCAAUAUACAGACCUGGAAAAGUCAGACAUACAUCCACCAAACCAAGUUAUACCCAAAAGGGGAGACCUUUUGGGCAAUCUCAAGGCUCACCUUGGCCGCGUGAAACUGCUACUUUUACCGUACAGAGAAAAGCUGGUGCAGCCAAAAUGGCAGUUAGAAAGGUUGUACAAUCUCCAGUUAUCAUCCGAAAAGGCCCCAAUGCUCCCUGUCGGGAGUGUAUAAAAAGUCACAGAAGCUCUGGGCUUGCUCCUCAAACCAAGGAGGUGUGUAUAGAGUAUGAGAGAGAAGAGACUGUGGUGAGCCCGUGGUUGGUACCUUCAGACAUCCGUGCGAUUCUCCACGAGAGUCACAGUUCCCUGCUACAGGACUCCUCACCAACUGAAGAAAAGUCAGAGGCUCCUUUGGGGGUAGGUGGCAUGGAGAGCUUGUCUGAGAGCACAGGCAGCAUCCUCAGCAAGCUUGACUGGGAUGCUGUGGAAGACAUGGUGGCCGGCGUGGAGGACAGGAGCCUCUCUGUCCACUGGGCCCUGGACCUGUAAGACCUGAGCAUCACUCUGCUUCCACAUGAAGGCCCACAGCUCAGCAAUAACGUUCAG